rnacentral:lncRNA from 1 species
AGCGUUGCGAGAGGCAUCCUCGGCCCCGCCGCCGGGAAGAGAGCCCCGGGGGUGACGUGCGCGGACCCCAGCGGGAACUGCGCUGCCUGGCAGAUCUGGGGGGAGGGCGGCAGCAAUCUCGGGGAUGGAGGAGCCCCUACUCCCAGCUCGUCUUCAGGGGCCCUCCCCUCCCCCUACCGCCCCACUGGAUGCUGACCACUCGCUCGGAGCGUAAGGGUCCAGCAGCCCACUGGCACUGAAGGAAUAAAUAGCGGAUUAUAGCUAAAAUGCCUGAAUUAUAAAUUAAAAAGCUUGAAUUGUGCAAAAGAAAAAAAAAAUCAUCGGAUUUCUGGGAUAAGAAUGUUAAGGAGAAUAAAAGUGCCAUUAAAAAUAGUUUGAAAUAAAAUCAACACCAAUGAUAUUUCUCAAACGAUGGAAGAAUAGUGAUGUAGAAACAAUAGAACAUGCUGGUUUUGGAUUGUCCCAGAUCUGAACUUUCAUGUUACUUUAGUAUAAGCAAUAGAAGUCUAUCUGAAAUUAAAGAACAAGAAAAUUUUCCAUAAAUAAAAUACUGGCUGAAAAAAAUAGCACCAAACACUUGGAAGGUAAAGCAGGAAAUAUUGGUAAUAAUUAAAUUAAUCUUAAACAUUGAGAAGAAAACAUGAGGAUGAAAAAAAUCUUAAGAUAUUCUUGAUUUCUGUAGAACAAGAAAAAAACAACAAUAAAGGAAAAUGGGAGAGUGGAUAUUGAAGAAAAACUGGAAAGUUACCGUUACCCAAAUGAGUGUCAAAAGGAGAUGCUCAUACAGGAUAAUGAACUAAAGAACAACAAGUUAUCCAAACCAACUGAUAAUCAUCAUCCACUUGAUACUGGAGCAGCUGACCUAACAACAAUGUUUAAAUUCUCAUUUGCAAUCAUAUUCUCCAGCUAAGAGUGGUAGGGAAGUAUUCAAGUCAGCCAAUAAAAAUCCUUACAAACCGCCAGAGGGGUCACCAAUGUAACUUCAGACCUAUUAGGCAACACUUCAGAAAAAUGAACAAUGUUAACAUUCAAGCAAAAUUGAUCACUGCUGUUAUUAAAGAGGAACAAACCAGAAUGGCUUCUGCAAGGGAAAAAACAGUACCUCUCUAACUUCUCCAGUCAUAUUUAAUGAGUCCAUGAAAAGAACAGGAGCUUUCAAAACCUUUUCAAGUCUAUCACGUAGUUAUUAAAAAAAAAAAAAGUGUAUUUUGCAUCUGGGAGCCUUCACCCUAAUGUUGAAAAGCAUUUCGAGUCCUCAAAAAAUAAAAGUUCAUACAACAGCAAGAGCUGAAGGACUAUUGC